GUGGAGCAUGUGGCUUAAUUUGACCCAACGCGGGAAAUCUUACCGGGUCCGGACACACUGAGGAUUGACAGGCGUUAUUAAGUGUCUCGUAUUCUCUGAAUACAGUACACUUAUGUUAAAUAUGCUAGUCCUUUCAUGAUUAUGUGAUAGGUGGUGCAUGGCCGUUCUUAGUUCGUGGAGUGAUCUGUCUGCUUAAUUGCGUUUCACUAAGGGCCUAUAUUUAUUAGUAUGUUGCAGGCGCAUUGACCCCUCACCUUAAUCAGGUGUUUGCGCGUGUCUUUGAUCUACGUCUUGCUCAUACGUUUAGGUCCUGAAAGCAACGAACGUGACCG
rnacentral:rRNA from 1 species